CUACACUGGCGGCGUUUUGGUGCCCGCGCGUCGUUUCCGAUGCGCAGUUAAACGGGAAACACGCGUUCAUCAUGAACAGGCGUGUGCUGCCCCCGCAACGGUAAACAAGCGCAGAAAUGAUUUCUGCCGGCCGCAUGUCAACACCACUGUGCAACGCUGCAUGGGAAGGUGAUGCGGUUCGACUUGGGAGCCCGGAUACCGGCCAGGACAGGUGGAAACGC
rnacentral:ncRNA from 2 species